UUGUGGGAAUGAUGAAAAUGUUGUUGUUAAACCCAUGAAAUUUGAUUAAAUUGUGUGAAUGAUGAAAAUGUUGUUGUUAAAUCCAUGACAUUUGAUUCAAUUGUGUGAAUGAUUACAAUAUUGUUGUUAAACCCAUGAAAUUUGAUAAAAUUGUGUGAAUAAUUAAAAUAUUAUUCUUAAACCCAUGAAAUUUGAUUAAAUUGUGGAAAUGAUGAAAAUGUUAUUGUUAAACCCAUGAAAUUUGAUUGAAUAUUGUUAAUCAUAAAAAU
rnacentral:lncRNA from 1 species